CGACUUCAAAACGCUUCCGUAAAAAAUUCCACUCCGGUGCGUACUGCUACGUUUUCAGUGUACUAGCAAGUAUACGACGUUUUUGGAAAUAUUUUUCAACAUUUAUCUAAAUAGAAUGAAGGCCAAGGGAUUUGCAGUUACCCAUCACCUGUAAAGGUAAAGCGUUAGUUAGCAGGUUACGGACAACUAACCUAGUUCUUUUACUCGCCAUUUUGAUAAGAGCUACGACCCGAAAUUAUUUUAAUAGCAGGUUAGGAGGGCAGUUUUGCCAUCCCUAAUUAUUUUUUAUAACCUUAACCAAAUUGUCCGAACCUGCUACGUUGUUUCUCAUUACCCGUUGCGUAAUACUUUGUACUAAUCUGCUACGAAAAAGUAACUUCCGGUCGUAACUGUAUCGAAGUGGCGCGAAGAGUGUUUCUCAUGGUUAGAUAGCUACAUCUCCAAAUACGAUGUAGGCAUUUGGCUAGGUAAUUUAUAUAGUGGAAAUUACAUUAUCUGUCUAGUUCAUGUGGAGAGGAAUGUCAUCGGGGUGUUUUUGAUUACUUUGUCUUUGUAGAGACAUUAGUGCAAAAUGGAUGUUGACGUUAAACUAGAGGAAGAUGAGAGGGAGAUAUCCCAUACAGUAAUUUGGUCUGAUUCGAUUAAUGCCUGGAUAGAUUACCCAAAUUCAACAUUGUCAGAAAACACAGAAACAGGUUACCAUGUGGGUUUACUGAAAGAGCAUUCACAUGUACCUCCCAUCAGUCCCCAAACAACAAGCCACGGGCAGAUUUUACGUCUUUUUCCUGAAAUGACCGGAGCAAGUGAUGGGGAGAACAGGGCUGUCAAAGUGGUUUAUUUCUGUAAAGAUCAAGAUACCAUCAGCACAUCUGAAGGGAAUUCAAUCAAAGAGCAGUCAUGGCAUUUAGCACCGUCCAGUGAUAUUCUGACAGGACAUGCAUCCACUUUCAGUGGUUAUUUUGAAGCUCAAAUCAACCCAACUUCACAGGUUUCUAGCCAAACACAGACCAAUAAUAAAUUGCCCUCUGACAAUGUUAAUAUCCCAAGCCCUAGUACUGCCAUUCAUUCUGUGCUAACCUCACCUGCUCCAGAAAACGACUGUCAUUUAGCUGUAUCUACUAGGCCUAUUCUUCCAGAAUAUUGUGAGCCAUUGAACUUUCCCUCUGAUGAAGAGGAAGACUACAAUGCCAAUUUAAGUCAAAGACUACAAUGCCGGAAAACGUUAGAGGAUAAAUGGAUACGUCAGUGUCGUGGCAGUUACUCAAGACCCAACCUAAGAAAGUUUGGGAGAUAUUGGAAAGAUCCAUACGUCAAGUGCAAGGAGAUCGGUGUAGAUUUCAAUGUUGGAUCUGGAGCGAAACAGAAACUGAAUUUGCAUUUACUGACAGUUGGUGUAAUGCUUGAGGUGUCAGAAUAUGCUAGAAUCAUUAAUAGAUCUCGCCCUCAUGUUAUCUUUGAUAUUCUAGAUUACAACUUUGUUCUUGGUGUACAACAUGAACAACAAUAUUACUUUUCAUACAGGGUAGAAAAUAAAUUAAAAGAAAUGAUGAAGAUGUAUUCUAAGAGAACACCUGAGUGGUUAACAGAAGUCUUUGACCUUCCUGAUCCAAAGACAGUUAGAGUUUUGGAAUACUCCUUUAAACGGGAACAGUUCUAUUUGCAAAACAGCUUGUCAAAUCCUACACCUUUUGAUGUUUGCAUAAAGGAGGAGCCUGUUGUGGGCCUGAUCUCUCCUCUGCAUGUGAAGACUGAGAGCUUCUCCACUGAGACAGAUGUGACACGGUGUGCUGAUGAGACGGCAAUCCUUGGCCCUGAAAAUGGACGUAAUGAUACCUGCACAAGGUAUGAGCCUUAUAUGGGCAUCUUCUGUCCUCAACAUGUCCAGACGGAAACCUUCCCAACUCAGACAGAUAUAACAAUGGAUCAAUCCUUCAUGAUGCCCACUGUAGAAGAAGCAUUGAGGGUACUCUACCCGAUCUGUAAGGGAAAAGGACUUGACCUUGUUGUGAAAUCAAAAUAUGGGAAAAAUAAGAAACUUGACUUGCAUCUAUUGACCAGAGAUGUAAUGUUUGAAUUGGCUGACUUUGCCUCACAAGUCUGUGGAAAUCAGAAGCAGGUUGUGUGUGAGUUUCUCGAGCAUAAUUUUGAUUUGGAUUUAAAAAGUGGGAAAACUGAGCUGGCCGAAGAUAUUAUGAGAAGGUUAAGAGCAGUUUUACGGCGCAAGACAGAUAAAAAACGUACAUGGAGAUUGGGACUUGAAAAUGAAGCUUUUUUAAAGAAGUCACGCAAACGAAAGAACCCUGCGGAGAUGUCCACUAACCAGAAGGUCACUACAGCAUCACUUGAGCCGAAAUACCAAAUGAAAGAAGUAUCAAAAAGGAGGAGAUUGAAUUUAAUGAGGAAGAAGAAAGACAUGGACAUGUUAGUAACCAAGGAGACCGAGGGAGGCCAUUUCUCUGAAGUAGUACCAAUAGAACCUCGUCUUGUCAAAAUAGAGAGAAUCUCUGAUGAGACUGACCUUGCACUUUGUACUGACGAAACAAAGCAAAUUGUCGUUAGCAACUUGGACCAAUCAAAUGUGACGUCUCACACCAAAAAUAUGGUGAAAGCCAAAGCGUGCUACCCACUCUGUGAGGAAAUAGGUCUGGACCUUGAUGUCACAUCCAAACCAUCUAAACAGAAACUGGAAUUUAAUUUACUGACAAACGGUGUAAUAUUUGAGGUGCAUAAAUAUGCAGGGAUGAAAUCCCAUCAUAAAAAAAAAAAAAGUGGGCGCAUUCUCAUUGAUAUUCUAAAAUACAAUUUUGAUUUUAGUUUGCAAAAUCAGAGACGUAAUCUAUUUCCACAGCAUAUUUGCUGUAAAGUGAAACGAAUGGUUCAGAAACACAAAUCUGAGCUCAUGAGAAAAAGAGAAAUCUCAAAAGAGGUGUUCAUAAUACCGAGUGUGUUUAAAAGCCAAGCAAAAACAAAUGUGCUUUCAGAUUAUUUUCCUGAAAAAAAUAUGGAACAAAACGCAAGGCUGGUUUAUCCUCAUCAUGGUAAAGACACUAUCUCUGUGGAGACAGCUGAAACAGUCUCCACUGAUGAAGCAGCGAUGCUUGACCGGGAUAAUGGACCUGCUGACAUCUGCAUAAAGGAGGAGGAGGAGUCAGAUCUUCACUCUGAGGUCAAACUGGUUUAUUUCUGCAAAGACCAAGAUACCGUCAGAACAUCUGAAGAGCAUUUGAUCAAAGAUGGAUCAUGGCAUGAAUCAACACCCAGUAAUAUUCUGACUGGAAAUGUAUUCAGCCUUCCACAGUCACCACUACCAGCUGCAGAAAGUGGUCCUUUCGGAAGUAAAACCGAGCCAACUUCACAGAUAUAACCAGACGGUCCAAUGCAGAAUCACUCGAGACAAAAUACCAUAGACUUGACAGAAGUAACCAGGGGAAAAAAGGGAUUUAAUGAGGAUAAAUACAUGUUUAUAGCCAAGAAGGAAAAGAAAGUUGUCAGACAAGUAGAACCUCAUUGAGAUGAGAUGGAUCUGCCAGGGGAAAGAAAAGCACUUCCUUUACUUCCUGACUGAGAUCUCAGGGGGGGGGGGAGAUGGAAAGAAAAGUCUGAUCUGCUCGCUGUGAAACGCCAGUUUCUCAUUUGCCUGAAAAAAAAAUGAGAAAAAGAUUGAUAUUGUUAUAUGUGAUGAAGUGCAACACGAGGUGGAUUCUUACCGAACUUUCAAAAUGCUUUGUAGUCGAGACUGGUUCUGAGAAGAAAUGCUAAAUCCUUGCUGGAUACAGAUCAGGGGGCUAUUGAAAAUCUGCAAAAGUCAAAUUCCCUCAGUUCAAGAAGACGACUCGUACCUGGGAAUGGCUCUGGACUAAUUACAAAAAAUCACUGCAGAAAGCAGAGACAACAAGAGUUUUGCCAAAAGGAAGAAGGGCUGUUGAUCACUUGUGUGGUAGAGAGAAACACCCAGAAUCAGUCUGGACAGGAUGGAGUUUUAGUCUGGACAGGAUGGAGUUUUAGUCUGGACAGGAUGUAGUUUUAGUCUGGACAGGAUGGAGUUUUAUUCUGGACAGGAUGGAGUUUUAGUCUGGACAGGAUGGAGUUUCAGUCUGGACAGGAUGGAGUUUUAGUCUGGACAGGAUGUAGUUUUAGUCUGGACAGGAUGGAGUUUUAUUCUGGAGAGGAUGGAGCUUCAGUCUGGACAGGAUGGAGUUUUAGUCUGGACAGGAUGGAGUUUUAGUCUGGAAAGGAUGGAGCUUCAGUCUGGACAGGAUGGAGUUUCAGUCUGGACAGGAUGGAGUUUUAGUCUGGACAGGAUGGAGAUUUAGUCUGGACAGGAUGGAGCUUCAGUCUGGACAGGAUGGAGCUUCAGUCUGGACAGGAUGGAGCCUAACUGUGGAAAAACAGAAACUGACUGAUACACACAUUACAAUGACAAAUCAAUGACCAGAUUGGCAACCAGCUCCAGCUACUCAGCAUCACUCUGACUAUUUGUGCUGGUUGUUUUCUGUCUCAGCUGAAGGGAGGACAUUGUGUUUUAAAGUAUUUUCUUUCUGUCCUGAAGUAGGUCUACCUGCUUAAUACACACAUACUUUCAUAUAGGUAAAGCAAAGGCACGCUAUGACUUAACUCUACCUUCAUAUAUUGGGCUGCCUUUAUCACAAUAGUUUCACAGUUUAAAAACGUGUGUUUUCAAAUGACUGUAUGCUACAUUGAUCUUUGGAUCACACUUGGAAUGCGAAAGGUUCCGAAUGUUAGUUUUAGGUCUCCCUGAAGUCCGUAGACUUCCACUCUAUUAGUCACCCUAGAACACAGUCAACGAGCCUAACGGAGAGGUGUAUUCAUCAGGGAUAUACUGUAGCUAAAUGUUUAAUGGAGGGCUACGCGAGCGUUUCUUGGACCAUUUCAGAAAUUGGUACACAAGAAGGAGGAGCACUAGUCUUUUUAGGAUUAAGUGAAAAUAGGGAGACAAUGUAUUUGUAUUAAGGGUUUAGUCUUUGAAUCGUGGAUUUGUGCAGAUUCCCUUGGCCUUCCUUCCUGUUUAACCUUUGAUGUCUGGUCUUGCUGUAGAGACUGAAUACAGCAGGAUUAUUGCUAGACUUUUUUUGUUUUCUUAACUAUUUUACGACGUAUUCAUUGACGAAACGAACUCCACUACAAAUACAAGCCUCUAUAGAAGAACCUCUGAUCCUUUUUUUUGUUAGAAAUAAAAAGACAAAGAUGUUUUAUUUUCUAAGAGUAUGUAGUAGUAGCAUUAGUGAAAUAACCUACUAUGAUGGAUCAUAUUAUUAUUAUUUUUAUCAGUGGGCUAUUUUGUUUUUUUUUCCUUUUUUUGUGGAAAGAUUUAGAGACUGUAUCCAGACCUGCCUUACUGUUACCAAUAUGUUCCUUUUUUGAACAGGGAGUUAUUCUACCGUAAACUAAGAUUCUUUUUACGUAUUUUUUAUUUUUUUAAGGAUACUUCCACUGACAUUCUUAGAGCUGUCAUUUUAUUGUGAGGAACUGCAGUUCGAUCGGAAUAGUUUUUCUGUUUUCGUCCUCUGUUUUGUGAGUGACCCUCUCACUCAGUCAACUCGUCUCAGGGCACAAGUCUCCCCUUCUCCAGACACCGCGUGUGAAUCAGAAUCCGUAGCUAGUUGUGACACGUGAGCCUCUGGAUGAAAAGCAGAGUAUCCCUAAAGCAGCGUGGUCCUAUCAGCCCCUCAUGUUGGACUAAACACUUUCAACUCUACACAAGUGAAAACCCCAAAUCCCUAAAGAUCCUCUAUUUGCCAUACUAGAGGGACAUGAAGUCUGACUCCAUCCUCAACAUGUGGACCUGCCCUGAGGAUGUUGGACACCACUGUUACACCUUCAGCCUUCGUUGAUUUCCUGUCAGACUGGUUGUUUUUCAACUCCAUUCCACGGACGGACUGACCCGAACUUUUACCAGAACAGGAACACAAUGUUCAUCAGACUCUCCUCACCAGUGGACUGACUACUGAGACUGGUCAUCUUUGAACUCAAGAGGAAUACAAUGUUCAACAGACUCUCUCCUCACCAGUGGACUGACUACUGAGACUGGUGGUCUUUGAACUCAACAGGAACACAAUGUUCAACAGACUCCCUCCUCACCAGUGGACUGACUACUGAGACUGGUUGUGAGGUCACAGGAAAUAGAGUGAUCUGUUAGGAGGGAUGCAGCAUUGUAAUCCUGAUUUAGAUGAUGGUUAUAAGGAGAGUUCAGGUCGUAACCAGUCCACUGAGAUGAAUGUAGAUGUCGACACCCUGGCCAAUAUAGGCUUUGGAGAGGUAAUGUAAAGUGUCCAAGGCGGUAAAAUAAUCCCUGAUUGUAUUAAAUAAUGUAUUACAUUCCCUUCAUUAAAUUUCCUACAUCACGUUUUGGAAAUACAAUGGUCAUUAAAAAAUCUAAUAAAAUCUGCAUUUACACUGUUUGGCAUUUUUGUGGUGGAGGGUUUUUUUUGUGCAUCUUAAGAGUGGAAACCCUAUGUGAUUGGCUCUUUCAACAUUUCAUCUAGCCUAUCAGUGGGUAUGUUUUGUCACUUUGCUUUGUUACACCACGAUCGUUUGAGUUUUAUGUUCAUUCUAGUCUGGCAAAUAAAAAUAAAAAAAUUGAAUAAUUUUGCACGCCCAAUUUUUCAGUUUUUGAUUUGUUAAAAAAGUUUGAAAUAUCCAAUAAAUGUCGUUCCACUUCA